AUUCGGUUGGCACCAUAUUCUCCUGCAUGGUCCACUCUCAUCAUCCUGUGAAGCAUGGCUUUUUCUUCUUCAUCAUUGGUGGGAGGCAACACAACAUAUCCCCUUACACUGGACACAACAGCUGAGAGUCACACAAACAUGCAAUGGAGAUGCUGUCAUUUCUGGACACAGUGGAGUGGGCGUCUGCUGGUGGGUGUUGACACAGAACCUACAGCGUGUCUGAAUGCUGCUAUCGCUGAGAUCAGAGAACAGUAUGAAGGCCUGGUGAAAAACUGAAGCACGGAUAAAAUAUGGGGUUAAUAAUUUUAGAAGCAAACACACACACAUCGAGUCGUUUCUGUUGUUUUUCACUCUUCCCUUUUGUCAGUAACAGAUAGUUGAAUUUUAAACGGAAAGCUUUUUUGUCCAUUUUAUUUAUAUGAAAUUUAGUCUUAUACAUGACUCUUAACAGCUCAUAGCAUCCUAAUAUAUUGCAUGAGUCACUUUACCUCAUGCCUCCACACAGUGGCACUCUCACACAGCAAAUCUUAUUCCGCUGACUCCACGAAGGAGCACGGGGCCUAUAGCAAAUAACAAAUAGCAGCAGUAAACUCCAUUUAAUUGUGAUUUACCAAUCAAUUUUCAGGAUCGAAAUGAAAACUAUUUUUCCUCGUGGAAGUUUCUAGAAAAUGUUUAAGAAAAGUGUUCACAAUACAUGUAAAGAUAAUUACUUGGGAUCACAGCUGUCAUGUACAUGUAUGGACAUUACAAAGACUUUUUAAAGAAUGUGUUUAACCAUUUUUGAGGUUAGAUUCCCUGGCAAUGUAAUAAAAUGUGUGUUUUGAA